AUUGAACGCUAGCGGGAUGCUUUACACAUGCAAGUCGAACGGCAGCGCGGACUUCGGUCUGGCGGCGAGUGGCGAACGGGUGAGUAAUGUAUCGGAACGUGCCCAGUAGCGGGGGAUAACUACGCGAAAGCGUAGCUAAUACCGCAUACGCCCUACGGGGGAAAGCAGGGGAUCGUAAGACCUUGCACUAUUGGAGCAGCCGAUAUCGGAUUAGCUAGUUGGCGAGGUAACGGCUCACCAAGGCGACGAUCCGUAGCUGGUCUGAGAGGACGACCAGCCACACUGGGACUGAGACACGGCCCAGACUCCUACGGGAGGCAGCAGUGGGGAAUUUUGGACAAUGGGGGCAACCCUGAUCCAGCCAUCCCGCGUGUGCGAUGAAGGCCUUCGGGUUGUAAAGCACUUUUGGCAGGAAAGAAACGUCGCGGGCUAAUACCCCGUGGAACUGACGGUACCUGCAGAAUAAGCACCGGCUAACUACGUG
rnacentral:rRNA from 1 species